rnacentral:ncRNA from 1 species
CAUUGGUGAGAAUCCAAUGCCCCGAAACCCUAAGGGUUCCUCCGCCAGGUUCGUCCACGGAGGGUUAGUCGGGUCCUAAGGCGAGGUCGAAGGGCGUAGUCGAUGGACACAGGGUGAAUAAUCCCUGACUACUAUGUGGGAGCAUUGCGAGGGACGCAUGAAAGAUAGCCAUACCCUGAUUGGUUUGGGAGGAGUUUACGAACUCCGCGUGGUGAAGGAUAGUGUCAAGAAAAGCUCGUAAUGUGAUGAAAACAUAGUACCCGUACCCGAAACCGACACAGGUAGGGAGGUUGAGAAUACCAAGGGG